GCACCUAGCAAGAAAAAGCUAGAUAUUCCCAUAUGGUCAGUCUCAGAAACAGACAAUCUUAAAACUGGGAGUGUGCAAAAGAUAGCCAGCUUUUUCUCUACCUUUUGCAGAUGACAUUAACACAAUGAACAAAACAAAUUUUACAUAUUAAAGAACUCUCCUUGUGACAAGCCAGGAAAGAGAGAGAGAAUUACACUGUUUUUAGCUGGAAGUACUUUUGAGUCUCCCAAAGAAAUGUAACUGCAAGCAUUAAAGCUGAAAGAUUGAUGCUCUUGCUUGUUGGUUUUUACUCGGAGAAGUUGGGGGAGGGGGACCAUAUCUUGCCCUCAGCUUCUGCAUCUUUACUCAACCAACUAGCUUCUCACAUUUAAUGAACUAGCAGAGGGUUGUCUCUUAGCAUUAUAGCUUUUAGGUGCUUACAUUUUAGACUUGCGCAUUAUUUCCGAGAGAGAGUUACUCACUUUCUUCAGGGAAUUGUUAUGCUCUAAACAAAAGUAUAUAGAAUUCAGAGACUGGUGGAUUUGUAGCCUUAGACUUCUAUCAUCCACUGUUUUUUAUGCUUAAAAAAGUUAAUUGAAUUCAUCUUAGCUUUUAAAGGGUGGUUUGAAACUCUUACAACUAGUUCGAUCAGGACAGGAGUUAGUUGGCAAAGACUAAUUAAGAUAUUGGCUUGACUAGUUUUCUUCUGUUCUCACGGUCCUGCACUGUACUUUCACCAGCUCUUUUUCUCUUCAUCUAUUUUAAGGGUUCCACAUAUUGGAACUCUUUGUUUCACCUCUCGCUCUCUCUCUCUCCCCAUUCCGAAUAUGUUCUGAUGUAUUCUUUCAGAAAUUUGUUUUACUUGCAGUUCUGGUUUCAAUUCUGCUUCUACAUAUUUGCACUCAACUGGGUUUCAUUUGGCUUGGUAUUGUUGGAUCUUUUUAUUUGUCAAUAGUUAUUCGCUUUAUAAUUAUGAACUUCAUUUGGUUGUAAUCUCUUGUCAUGCCUAAUAAUGCAGUACCUCUUUCUGGCUCUUGAUUCCUGUUGCUUUAUAUCCAAGUUAGGACAGAAUGCCACUCUAGAGCUGUAAGCCAGAUCUUGUGCGAGUCUGUGACCUUCUACUUGAUGAUCCUUGUCUUUCUUCUUGUUAUCAUGAAUGCAUGAGAAGUUGAUAACCCAAGUUGUAGUUCCUUCCAGGCUAGAUAUUGCCUUUUUUGGCUUGCAAAGCCAAUAUUCUGGAAUCAAACCUGGUAUUUUGAGCUCUGAUGCUUUCUUUGCUAUACCAUACUGACCAUUUAAGUUAUAGAACUCCUCUCUUGAGUUGCAAAUCAAUACUUCUGUGCCUUCCUACUUUACUGGUAUUAUGGUUUCACAAGAUUCAUCCUCAAAUUCAGCUUCUAGCAUGCUACACCAAUUCAUUAUCUCGGACUCCAUUAGUAGCCAAAACCAAUAUCAAAACCAGAAUUUUGAUGUUUUCGGUUCAGAUUUAGGUGGCAGUAACACAUUUCCUCAUUCUCAUCGUGUGUUGCCUAGCAUACAGUCUCUUGAGGAAGGAAUGUCUAGGUCGAUAGACCUUGUACAAGCUCCCUCAGAAGCUCAAGAAUCCGAGAUUAGCCACACAAGACACUUAAUGAAUCUUCUUGGAGCGGCAAACGAGACCAAUCGUCAAGCUCAAAGGCUAUCACUGUCUCUUGGUUCUCACAUGCUUGUUCCUCAAGUUCAGUACAGGCAGAGAUCCUUUAACUUGGAUCUCAUGAGUCCUAGUUACUUAAUUCCUAGAGAAGAAGAAGCAAGGGAAGCUUAUAAUCCUGGAGGUGAACAAGUUAACAACGACUAUUCUCUCAUUGGUAGUGGAUUUACUUCAUCAUCAGCCUCGUUUAGUAGACGUUCUCCUACUGCUUACGGAACAGAAUCUUUUGCUGUUGCUAUAGAGAAUUCAAGGUAUUUAAAGCCUGCUCAGUCCCUACUAGAAGAAAGCGUGCAUGUAAGUUGCAAGGCAGUUGAAAUUAGCAAUGAAAAAUAUGUCCGAAAGUUAAUUCGUUGUGGAGGAUCUCUUGGACUUUCUUCUGAAUUAAAAGCAGAACUGUGGGGAAAUGGGCUUGUGCAAGCUGAGAAACACGAAGUCCAGCUUAAAAUUGCAAAGCUUAUAGCAUUGUUGGAGGAGGUUGAGGGAAGAUACGAGAAAUACUACCAUCAAAUGGAAGAAGUGGUAUCAUCAUUUGAGGAGAUGGCAGGUUUAGGAGUGGCCAAAUCUUACACAGCUCUAGCGCUCCAAGCCAUGUCCAAGCACUUCUGCUACUUAAGAGAUGCCAUAGUGUCCCAGAUCAAUGAGACAAGAAGAAAAUUCUCUCAAGAUUUACCAAAAACCAGCUCAGGAUUGUCACAACUUAGCUUUUUUGAUAAAGAGACCAAACAUAAUCGGAUGUCUCUUCAACAGCUUGGAAUGACGCAAAGCCAAAGGCAAGCAUGGAGACCGAUCAGAGGAUUGCCAGAGACUUCUGUAGCCAUCCUUCGCUCUUGGCUUUUUGAACACUUCUUGCAUCCGUAUCCAAAUGAAUCUGAGAAGCUAAUGCUAGCAUCGCAGACAGGCUUGACAAAGAAUCAAGUCUCAAAUUGGUUCAUAAAUGCUCGAGUCCGGCUAUGGAAGCCCAUGAUAGAAGAAAUGUACAAAGUGGAGUUCGCAGAUUCUUCUGAAGACUCGAACACCUUACCAGGCAGUUCUUUCAUAACAAGGGAAGGUGUAACAGAUCAUUCAGAGGACUGAAGGAAUAGGUUGAUAGCUAAAUUAAUUCCUUCUUCAAGUUGUGCCUCGUUGUUUCUUUCAUGCAAUAGACAAUUAACAUCUUUUGUAGUCAUUCAUCCUAGGCAAUUAAAACUGAAAUAUCUGAGAACAGCCUGGAGCUGUAAUGUGAUUUUCAGGGAAAGCACGAGCUGCCAUGGGCCUGGAGCACAUCUUGCACAACUAACAUCCAGUGUUUUAGCUGCUUCCAACUUUUCAUGUUUACUUUCUAUCACUGUUUUGAAAAAUUUGUAACAGUAACAUGUCCAAGUAAGCAAAUCAUAAACAGUUUGAUGUGCAUUGAUCACCGCAUUACUUCUUCAAUAUUGGGGGUGAAAUGUUAAACAG